GUGGGGAAUAUUGGACAAUGGGCGAAAGCCUGAUCCAGCCAUGCCGCGUGUGUGAAGAAGGUCUUCGGAUUGUAAAGCACUUUAAGUUGGGAGGAAGGGCAGUAAGUUAAUACCUUGCUGUUUUGACGUUACCGACAGAAUAAGCACCGGCUAACUUCGUGCCAGCAGCCGCGGUAAUACGAAGGGUGCAAGCGUUAAUCGGAAUUACUGGGCGUAAAGCGCGCGUAGGUGGUUUUGUAAGUUGGAGGUGAAAUCCCCGGGCUCAACCUGGGAACUGCCUCCAAAACUGCAUGACUAGAGUACGGUAGGGGGUAGUGGAAUUUCCUGUGUAGCGGUGAAAUGCGUAGAUAUAGGAAGGAACACCAGUGGCGAAGGCGACUACCUGGACUGAUACUGACACUGAGGUGCGAAAGCGUGGGGAGCAAACAGGAUUAGAUACCCCAGUAGUCC
rnacentral:rRNA from 1 species